GUAUUUUAUGUUGUACAAGCUCUACAGUACAGCUUGAGCACUACCCACAUUAGUUACCACUAUGUAAUUCGUGCAUUACUGCUAGCCAACAUGAAUAAUAUAUA
rnacentral:ncRNA from 1 species